CCUACGGGUGACAGCAGUGGGGAAUAUUGGGCAAUGGGCGCAAGCCUGACCCAGCAAUGCCGCGUGAAGGAAGAAGGCUUUCGGGUUGUAAACUUCUUUGACAGGGGAAGAGCAGAAGACGGUACCCUGAAAACAAGCCACGGCUAACUACGUGCCAGCAGCCGCGGUAAUACGUAGGUGGCAAGCGUUGUCCGGAUUUACUGGGUGUAAAGGGCGUGUAGCCGGGAAGGCAAGUCAGAUGUGAAAUCUGGAGGCUCAACCUCCAAAUUGCAUUUGAAACUGUUUUUCUUGAGUACUGGAGAGGCAGACGGAAUUCCUUGUGUAGCGGUGAAAUGCGUAGAUAUAAGGAGGAACACCAGUGGCGAAGGCGACUUACUGGACUGUAACUGACGUUGAGGCUCGAAAGCGUGGGGAGCAAACAGGAUUAGAGACCCUUGUAGUC
rnacentral:rRNA from 1 species